UACGAAGGGGGCUAGCGUUGUUCGGAUUUACUGGGCGUAAAGCGCACGUAGGCGGAUCGUUAAGUCGGGGGUGAAAUCCUGGAGCUCAACUCCAGAACUGCCUUUGAUACUGAGGACCUUGAGUUCGGGAGAGGUGAGUGGAACUGCGAGUGUAGAGGUGAAAUUCGUAGAUAUUCGCAAGAACACCAGUGGCGAAGGCGGCUCACUGGCCCGAUACUGACGCUGAGGUGCGAAAGCGUGGGGAGCAAACAGG
rnacentral:rRNA from 1 species